AUGGAGGGGGCAGCUCCUGCCCCAACCUUCCCCGCCACGCUCAGGGUCUGUGCAAACGCCCAGGACGCCGGUGAGCUUCCCCCGAACAGGACUGCAGAAUACGAGCGUGCCUCUAUGCAUCCCUAUACGCAUACGUAUACGUGUGUGUGCAUACAUUUCCCGCAGGCCAUUAUGCCAGGCGAACACAGUGAAAUGAGCCCUCACCUGACGCUGGCCAUUGCACGGCGCGAGCGGCACUUGGGGACCGGCCUCAGCGUGGCAAAGGCCCUGCAAACUCACCACUACUGGCAGCUCUGCCCUGACUGUGCAGCCAGUUACGUGCAAACACCAUCGCCGCUUUGGGAAAGAAGCAAAUUCAGCUGUGACCAGAUGAUGAUAUCCAGGGUGUGCAAUAUUAACGUUUUCCAGAAAGGAUUUCUUCAGCUUUUUUAUUACGAAGUUGCUGUGCGCUUGCUGGGAGGAGCUGGCUCAUGUUUGCUGGUGGCACCACUGCAUCGGUGCAUCACUGUGUCACUGCAUCGCUGCAUCACCGUGUUGCUGCAUCAGUGCACUGCUGCAUCGCUGCAUCACUGUGUCGCUGCAUUGCUGCAUCAGUGUGUUGCUGCAUCGCUGCAUUGGUGCGUCGCUGUGUCGCUGCAUCGAUGCAUUGCUGCAUCGGUGUGUUGCUGCAUUGGUGCAUCACUGUGUUGCUGUGUCGCUGCAUCGCUGCGCGCAGGGACAUCGGCUGCUCUGCGCUUCGCACGCCACCAUGCGCCGUUCGCCUCCCCAGCCUGGCGCCCGCAGGCUCUUAGGAAACCCCACGUCUCGCCCUCGGUUCGUCGAAAGGCCCCGGCGCGACGCUGCCGCUCGCACCAAGGGCCGGCGCUGGUGGCGUUCGUCCAGCCGCGCAUGCUGAAGCGCCGCCUUUUUGGUGAAUUCCCGCAGCACGGAUCCCGUAGGCUGCGCUCCGCGGCCUCCCGCGCACGUGCCGCGCCGCAUGCCGAGGCGCCUCACUCCCCCGCAGAGCUGCCCCUCCCUUGCAUUUCCCCUUAG
rnacentral:lncRNA from 1 species